AUGUCCCGGAGGAAGAAACCCAGAGCCGAGGCCGUCUCCCUCGACGCUUCCGCCGGCCUCGACCGCCUCAGCGCCCUCCCGGACGACCUCCUCCACAAGGUCAUGUCGUUCCUGAGGGCGUGGGAGGUGGCCCGCACCUGCGUGCUCUCGCGCCGCUGGCGUGACCUCUGGGCUUCCGCGCCCUGCGUCGACCUCCGGGUCUGCUGCAAGGCCCGGCACCGGCGCCUCCCCACGCGGCUCGCCAGCUUCGCCAACCACUUCCUGCUCCUGCGGGAGGCGUCCGCGCCGCUGGACGCCCUCCGGGUCCUGUCCAGCCCCCCACGCCAGGAUGCUCCACACAUGCCCUACAGUCCCCAGUACGACGACGACGGGGAGGACUACUCCUCUGAGGACGUCGAAAUGUGGAUCCGCGCCGCCAUAAACCGCAGGGCUCGCUUCAUCCAGCUCAGCCAUCACCCAAGGGACGACGACCUCUCCGACCUCGACAACGUGCCCCUCGUCUCCUGCCACCUCAAGCACCUGCAUCUGUCGGGCACAAUGCUGUACGACAAGACGCUGAGGCAGCUCUCCUCUCAGUGCCCUUCUCUGCAAGUCCUGGAGCUCAAGGACUGCUCCCUGGAUGGCCCCCACAUAUCAUCUGCCUCCCUUAUCACUUUGACCAUGGUCGAGUGCAGGAUCAUCAGGGACCUCACCGUCGCUGCUCCCAACCUCAUAUCGCUGCGCUGUGUCAAUCCAUACCACCAUGCUCCCUCGUUCGAAGACAUGGCUUCCCUGGCCACAGCCACAAUCAUGCUUAAUGACUCUUUCUUGCAUGAUGAGUUUGAAGAGAGGUACGCAGAGCCCGAUCCAGAGGUGUUUGAGUGUGACAGCGACUCAAAUGAUGACAGCGACGCUGAUAGCGACUUGAGUACAUGUGAUGAAUUCUAUGGUGACAAAGUUUUAGGUGGCCAAAAUGUUAUCCGCAGCCUGUCGAAUGCUACAAGUUUGGAGCUGAUAGCUGAUGCCGAAGAGGAACAUGAGGAAAUAGAUGACGAUAUCAAACCCGAGGGUACAUCAUUUGCUUGCGAAAACCUUACAAUGGUCAAUAUAAAAUGUCCCAAGGAUGAUGAAAGAGUUCCUGUGUUAGCACAGUUCUUCGUGGCUAAUGGCAUAGCGAUGGAAAAGAUAUCUGUCAAUCACCGGCCGACUCACCAACCUCGCUACUGUUUAAACCUGGUGUUUGUUUUUCGAGCUUGA
rnacentral:rRNA from 1 species